AUUGAACGCUGGCGGCAGGCCUAACACAUGCAAGUCGAACGGUAACAGGAAUCAGCUUGCUGAUUCGCUGACGAGUGGCGGACGGGUGAGUAAUGUCUGGGAAACUGCCUGAUGGAGGGGGAUAACUACUGGAAACGGUAGCUAAUACCGCAUAACGUCGCAAGACCAAAGAGGGGGACCUUCGGGCCUCUUGCCAUCGGAUGUGCCCAGAUGGGAUUAGCUAGUCGGUGGGGUAACGGCUCACCUAGGCGACGAUCCCUAGCUGGUCGGAGAGGAUGACCAGCCACACUGGAACUGAGACACGGGCCAGACUCCGACGGGAGGCAGCAGUGGGGAAUAUUGCACAAUGGGCGCAAGCCUGAUGCAGCCAUGCCGCGUGUAUGAAGAAGGCCUUCGGGUUGUAAAGUACUUUCAGCGAGGAGGAAGGUGUUGUGGUUAAUAACCACAGCAAUUGACGUUACUCGCAGAAGAAGCACCGGCUAACUCCGUGCCAGCCGCCGCAGUAA
rnacentral:rRNA from 1 species